UACGGGGGGUACAAGCGUUGAUCGGAUUGACUGGGCGUAAAGGGUACGUAGGUGGCCUAUCAAGUUAUGUGUGAAAUUUCAUGGCUUAACCAUGAAGCUGCAUGUAAAACUAGUAGGCUAGAGGGUGGUUGGAGAAAACGGAAUUCCGAGUGUAGCGGUGAAAUGCGUAGAUAUUCGGAGGAACACCGGUGGCGAAGGCGGUUUUCUGGGCCACACCUGACACUGAGGUACGAAAGCGUGGGGAGCAAACAGG
rnacentral:rRNA from 1 species